AUUCAACUACUUUCUGCAUGUAGAUUUGUCUCAUGCCCAAUGAAUUGCCUCAGCUCACCAAGAAACACACACUAUCAGCUGGUUUCUUGAGAAGCAAUUGGUUUCAUUUGUCAAUACAUUGCCGAAACGGUCAAUCAGAAGUUAAUCUUGAAAAUAAACUUACACAGCAAAAACAACACAAAUAACGUUAGUCUUAUUAAAAUUUCUCGUUCCAAACUUGAAUAUAAUUUCUAAAUCAGGAAAAUAAACAAUAAAAGAGAAUGGAUCUAAGAAAUGUAAUGGCAUUUGGAGGCAGGCUUGUGAUAAAAAAGACCGAGUGAGGAACGAUGAGAAGAAAGUAAAAUAAAUUUGGCCCAAAAAGAGACCAAAAGAAUUCUUACUAACUUCUAACAGAUGCCCACUUGAAGCAAACAAACCCGUACUAUGAUGCCAUAAUAGUUUGUUGUAUAGGGCAUGGAGUUGCAGGGCAACCUGCAGAGUACCUGCAGGGUAUUUCAGAGCCAUUAGUAGAAGAACUCUCCUCUUAUUUGCAUCCAGCCCUUUAUUGCAUGAUCAAUUGGAGAAAAGAAGAAAAAGGCAAAUUAGGGAGGAGAAGGAAAGGAGAGGUGAUGGUAGCGGAAAAGCUGC
rnacentral:lncRNA from 1 species